CAAUCGAAAGCCUUAAGAAGAAGACUGACCUCCACUUAGAAAGGGAGAAUUCUGCCUUUGAACUCAAGCUGCAGCAUCAACUUUUCUCUGGGUCUUCAUUCUGCCAACCUAGCUUGUAGAUUUUGGACUUGCCAGCCUCCGUAAUCAUAUGCUUCGAUAUGUGUAUUGGUGAUGAAAGAGAGAGCCCAGGCUAGCAGACAUGGAAGAUACCGAAUUAAAAAGGAGACUCAAUUCCUCUGCAUUCUAAGCAAUGAAUGGCAAAAAUGAAUGAGAGUCCCUGUUGUUCCACAUCCUUGCCAGCAUUUGGUUGUAUCAGUGUUUUGGAUUUUAGCCAUUUUAAUAGCGUCUUUCUUGGAGAUGUUAAUAAGUUUAAUGAAGUCCAACUUUUUCUUUCAUGGAUCAUGCUUUUGGUGUCAUAUCUAAAAAGUCAUCAACAAAUGCAAGGACACCUAGAUUUACUACUAAAUGUAUCCUUUUUAUUGUGGUAAAAUAUACAUAACAUAAAAAUUUACCAUUUUAACCAUU